GAAGAAGAAGAAGAAGAAGGAAAACUCGAGAACUUAACAUGAGAUGCUAAAAUUUUAGGCCCUACUACUACAAAAGGAAAAGGACACAGAUCCGCACAUCUUGGGGAAGUGAGACAUAGAAUAUAAGCAAGAAAGAAAACAACAUACACGAGAACAAGAACAACAUAUUUUAUUCUGGAUCGAUUCCCAGCAAGUAACCACAAAAAGAUAGGAAGAAGCAGCCAACAUAAACAUGAAAUCCGAAGUAAGAAUAAAUACAGAAAAAAAAAAGGAAUGAUAUGCAAAUAUCCUUUAAUUGGAUCGGAUCAAAUCUGUCAUAUAAAGAUCCAAAUACCCUUUAACUUAUUCUGCAAUCUGAGAAUCCAGAGGAAUGAAGAAAGAAGCUAGAAUUUAAGGGAUGGAUGAUACCCCAUGCAGAUUUUUGCAGAAUUUUGAAAAUGCAAA
rnacentral:misc_RNA from 1 species